rnacentral:ncRNA from 18 species
GUAUAAACCGCAAGCAAUGGUGUCCAUCCGGACUUAAUAGGGAAUCUGGUGAGAAUCCAGAACUGCCCCCGCAACUGUAUGUGUGGACGAAAUGGAACAUCCACUGUAUGUGAAAGCUCGCUCGGGCGCACAUACGGGAAGGAUCCAAAGUAGGAUGAAACACGAGUCAGGAGACCUGCCUUGCUUGUUUGCGUUUCA